CCAGCUUUCUAUCAUUUAAAAUCAAACCAAUCAAAUAGGAAGACGCUGCUCCCAGCUGAGAGAUUUCACUCGGCGUCGCUCGGCUGGCCUGCGAGGUCACCACAAGACCGCACACAGAUGGAGGAGUGUGUGGAUGUUAUAGAUUUCAGCAUUAUGUGUUUGUUAUUAAUCCUUGUGCCCAUUGCAAAAAUGAUUUUCAAAGCGGAGCCAUUAUUUUUCUGUGCUGAUGUUCAGUCGCCCAGCAGGUUUAAAUAUGAGCUGAAGGCAUACACAAUUCAUCAUUUCAGGUUUCAUAUACACUGGAAGAGCUGCCUUUUCCUUACUGGUUUGCCAGAAUUUUAUGAGUGCAUGGCCAAGAGAUGAGACCUCCCUCAACUCGUCGCUAGGGAAUCCCUGCCAGCCUUUAAAGGAGUUCCUUGAGAUUCAUUGUUUGCCCUUUGAAGGAGUUUUGAGAGUUUUGUUUUGUGAGUAUUACCUUUCUGUUGCUUAGUUGGAUUUCUGAAAGUUGCUGCUCUCUAUAGUUUUUUGAUUUCUGGAUUUGCUUUGGGACUUGGCUGCUGUGGCUUCCCUUUUAGGCAAAUCCUUUUUGCCUUCUUUGAUUUUGCAAAUGCUUUGUUGUUCUUCUAUUUUUUGGUAGUCAGUUCUCCAUUAUUAAAGAUUUGUUAUUGCCUUGUUCUUUACAAGCCAGAGGUUUAUGGUCAUCCCAUUCCUUGAGGGGCACUUUUGAUAUAUUUUGGGGCAUUUCUGUAUAUAUUGAAUUUUAGAAAUGUGUUCCCAUUUUUUUUCCUCAGCAGGCAAUUUCACAGGUUAGGUUGACUUUGGUGAAGCUUUUGUAGACAUUAUUGUUUAAAACCAUUCCUGUGUAGCUUUGACUAUGCUUGGUGUUGUUGUCUUGCUGUAAACAAAUCUCUCCCAAGGUGCAGAUUUCUUGCAGACUGCAUCAGGUUUUGCUCCAUGAUUUCCCAAUAUUGUGAUGCAUUCAUUUUUCCUUCACCCCUCACAAGACUUGUAGGACCUGCUGCAGAGAAGCAUCCCCUACAGUAGCAUUUCUCAACCUUUAAGUAUUUACGACCUGAGAUUUCAUAAUAGGUUUAAUUGCGCCCCCCUAACGUUUUUUUGAAAGGAGCCCACUAAUACCAAUUUGUUCUUUUUUAAUUAAUGAUAUA